GAUCAUGGCUCAGGAUGAACGCUAGCUACAGGCUUAACACAUGCAAGUCGAGGGGCAGCAUGCUGGUAGCUUGCUACCAGUGAUGGCGACCGGCGCACGGGUGAGUAACGCGUAUCCAACCUUCCCGCAAGUAAGGGAUAACCCGUAGAAAUGCGGCCUAAUACCUUANGUUUUCCUUAGAGGGCAUCUGAUGAGGACAAAGAUCCGUCGCUUGCGGAUGGGGAUGCGUCUGAUUAGUUAGUCGGCGGGGUAACGGCCCACCGAGACGACGAUCAGUAGGGGUUCUGAGAGGAAAGUCCCCCACAUUGGAACUGAGACACGGUCCAAACUCCUACGGGAGGCAGCAGUGAGGAAUAUUGGUCAAUGGGCGCGAGCCUGAACCAGCCAAGUAGCGUGCGGGAUGAAGGCCCUAUGGGUUGUAAACCGCUUUUUCAGGGGGAUAAAGUGAGUGACGUGUCAUUCAUUGCAGGUACCCUGCGAAUAAGGACCGGCUAAUUCCGUG
rnacentral:rRNA from 1 species